CCUACGGGGUGCUGCAGUGAAGAAUAUUGGUCAAUGGUCGGGAGCCUGAACCAGCCAAGCCGCGUGAGGGAGGAAGGUACAGGGUAUGGUAAACUUCUUUUGUCAGGGAACAAAGCCUAGGACGCGUCCGCGGUUGAGUGUACCUGACGAAAAAGCAUCGGCAAACGCCGUGCCAGAAGCCGCGGUAAUACGGAGGAGUCGAGGGGUAUCCGGAUUUAUUGGUUUAAAAGGGUGCGCAGGCGGUCUGUACAGUCAGCGGGCAAAGCCCGGGGCACAACCCUGGCCCGCCGUUGAAACUGGCAGUCUCGAGUUGGAGAGAAGUAUGCGGAAUGCGCGGUGUAGCGGUGAAAUGCAUAGAUAUCGCGCAGAACUCCAGUUGCGAAGGCAGCAUGCCGGCUCCAAACUGACGCUGAGGCACGAAAGCGUGGGUAUCGAACAGGAUUAGAUACCCCUGUAGUC
rnacentral:rRNA from 1 species